GGUUCGAUUCAGUUCGGCUUUGAGGGGGUGUCAAAACUUGCUACAGUCGUAGACGAAAGCUCCAGACGUGCGGUACAGAGACUGGCUGGAAGGAAAGGCCAUCUGACAGCUACUAUUCCCGUUCACUGGAGAGUUGUUCAAGCCGAUCCUCUGCGACUCGAACAUCUCCCGCACCGAGUGGAAGUUCUGCUGCUGGCCCGGGUAGCCCGCGGCUGCCGCCGCCGCCGCACUCGCCAAGUGGCCCAGGUCUCCACCUGCCUGGUUCAGGUACCACGAAGUGAGGCGGCCUUGGUGGGCCGCAGGGUGGUGGCCGGCCUCCUGGCCUCCUCCUCCGCUGCCGCCGCCGCCGUGACUCAGGGACGACGAGCUGCUGCUGGUGACCGGAGGCAGAGAGUAGUCGGGCAGGGGGUCGUCCACUGCCGAGCCACCCGCACCCCCGGGUGCGCCCUGCAAGUGGCCCCCGCGCUCGCCGGCCGCGUACAGGCUCAUGGCCUGCAAAUUGCAGUGGUAGGUCCCGGCGCCGCCCGCGCCCCCCGUGCCCCCCGCGCCGCCGCCGCCCGAGCUGCCCGCACUGGAGCUCUGGCUGCAGGGGGAGCUGUAGAGGGAGCUCUGGCCGGGCGAGUAGGCGCCGAGCGCCAGCGGGGGUGCGAUCCCUGGGCGCGAAGACGCGGCCGCCGAGGCCAGAAGGCCCGAGCCGAGCUCCGCGGCCGCGCCCUGCGGCGACCCCCGCAGCGACGUCAUAAUGUUGUCCACGCUGAAGCCCUGGCUGUGGUGCGGCGGCGGCGGCGCAGAGGGCGCGGGCGGCGGCGGCGGCGCGGACUCCGCACCGUCCAGGCUGAGCGGCCGCGCCGACGGCAGGCUGCCGGGGGGGCUGCUCCCGCUAGACAGGCUGCUGCUGCUGCUGUCGGGGCUCUCGAUCUUGGGCACCGCGGCGGCGCUGCCGCUGCCCAGGGCGGCGGCCGGGGACAGGGGCUGGGGCGGCGAGGGGCACGUACCGUUCUCGGUUUUGAUGUCCUGGAUGCGCACAGGCGGCGGCUGCGGGCCGGGCGCGUUGCCGUCGGCCUGUUCGGGCGGCGCGGGCUGGGGCUGGCGGCCGGGAGGGGGCGGCUCCUUGAGGUGCAGCCGGUCCUUCUCCUCCUUGUCCUUCACCGCGUCCUUCUUCUUGAAGCGCCGCCGCCGCCGCAGGAAGCUGCCGUUCUCGAACAUGUUGUAGGAGUCCGGGUCCAGCGUCCAGUAGCUGCCCUUGCCCGGCUUCUUGUCGUCGCGCGGCACCUUGACGAAGCACUCGUUGAGCGAGAGGUUGUGGCGGAUGCUGUUCUGCCAGCCCUGCUUGUUGUCCCGGUAGAAAGGGAAGCGGUCCAUGAUGAACUGGUAGAUGCCGUUCAGGGUGAUCUUCUUGUCCGGGGCGUUCUGGAUGGCCAUGGUAAUGAGCGCGAUGUAGCUAUAGGGCGGCUUCACCAUGUCCUUGGGCUGCGGCUGCGGGGUGUAGGGCCCGUAGGCGCGGGCCAUGCCGCCCGGGUACUGCUCGGCGUGCGCGGGGUGCGAGUACACGCUCAUGGGGGCCGGCAUGGCGGUGUAACCGCCCCCGGCCGCCGCGGCCGCCGCGCGGUAGUAGCUCUGCUCGCCGCCGAGGUAGGGCACCACUCCCAGGGAGUUGGGGCUGGACACGGAGUAGCGCGCCUGCAUGGCCCCGGCUCGCCGCCGCCGCCGCCGCCCCGCGCCGCCCGCCGCCCCCCACCCUCGCUCGGGCCGGGCCGCGCCGCGCCGGCCGCCGAAUCCGAGUCCGGGCCCGGCCAAACUGCUGCCGGCCCGCUGCGCUGUGCGUCCGGCCGCGCUGCCGCCUCUCCCGGCGCUUGCUGGGGCUGGCUCCUCCGGCGGCUGGGGCUACUUCUGGGCCCGCGCGGCCGCGAGGCGGGGUCGCUGAGAGGGGAGAAGGCCGGGGCGGGCCGCGGCAGACCGCCUUGCAGGAACUUGCGGCGCAGCUUCCAGGCGCAAACGGGGAAAAGCAGCCAAAAAGAAAGAACAAGCAGGCGCCCUUCUCGCCACACUGCCUGCGCCUUCCAGGAGACUCUGCCCGGAGCUGCCGGCGAAGGUGAGAAAACCGAGCUUAAAGAGAAGAAAGAGCUUGCCCAAGGUGACACAGCCUUUGGAAUUGCACGCUGCAGGAUCUCACUGGUUCUAAGACUCCAUUUAUGAUAAGUUUCCCCAAAGAAGAUUCUCCAGGAAACACCACAUAAAGCAGAGAGGCUCUUUCCUGCCCCCGCCUCCAUGGUGGGCCUACCCUUACCCACAGCUCCAGACAGAGUGGGGAGACAGGCAGGAGCCCCAGGACACUGAGGAAGUCAGAGCACUUCCUCUCGGACCCAUGGCAGACAUCGGCCAGAGGAGGCUGGAGGAGGGACAGGAAGCAGAAGGUGGGUUUCAGGUUGUAGCUCACCUCCAGGACACUAUGUCAGGGCUGUCCAGAAGUCACCAAAGUCAAAACCUUGGCAUCACAGAGAGGGAAACUGAGGCUCUCAGAAGAGAGCUGGCCCAUGAUAAGGAGGACUCCCAACCAGGACUUGCAGUCUAGUGCCGCUUACCCCUAGCACAUGCCCCGGCACCCCUGCACCCCUGCCUCCAGUCCCACCAAGGCCUAGGGUCUAAUGCAGCUGCUGUCUUUGGCCAGGUGGGCCUUGAGGCUCAGGGUGGAGUAGGAGCGGAGAAAAGGAGAGAGGUGGGUGUCAGGGAAAAUGAAUAGUGGGCCAAGAGGGGAGGGGCUUUUUCCUUUUCCAGGAAUUCCUCUCUUGCCCAACUAAAGCUUGGCUUGGGCUUGGACGAUUAACCCAAAGGCCAAACUUGGGGAAGGGAAGAGAACCUGGAAUGCAGAGCCAGAGGAGGCCCAAGACCUCAGCCUCCAGAGGUGUUUGGCCACCAAGGGGCGUGCAGGGCAACAGGGGCUGUACUGUCCCAGGAUCUGGCCAGCUACAGGGGUGCCCAGGUGCCCUCUUCCCUGGAAGAGCCGGAGAGGCCCAGUCCUGGUGGAUUGGGGCCUGGGGUACUGAGGUCCAGACUCCCCAGAGAGCUCCCGGCCCCACCGGCUGUGGCCACGGCGACAGUCUAGGGCAGCCCUGCUUCUCCUCAAGACCAGCCAAUGGAUCAGGGCGCCUGGUCUCCCCGUUUCUCCCCCGUCGCUCGCAGGAAGGUGCUUUUAAAGGCUGGCGGGCAGGCGCACAAGCUCGCACACUGCAGCCGAGCCGGCCUGUGUUUAGUCUGGCCCUGACGUCCUUCCUGAGCAGAUGGUAAGAGGAAGCCUUCUCCAAGCCAUUCCUGCCGUCGCCCACCCGGCCCAUCCAUCAUUUUCUCACCUACCAGCCCCAGGACCUCUAAGUCCUUACUGAGAGCUCAGCAGAAAGUCCAGGCCAGGUCACAGACCCCCACCACCUCGCCCGUGUGUGAGAGCCUUUCCUUCCUCCUUCAGCACAAAGGCUUACAUUAUUGUAUGUCCCUGUGAUGAAACACGCACCAGAUUAGAUAAGGUUGAAUUGCAGUUUUAUAGGGUGCCAGGAUCGUCCAUGAGACACUCUCCUUUUCUUUGUGAGAUUUGUGCUUAUAAGAAUACUUUGCUCGAGUAGUUCUCACUUGGCUCAAAGACACAACAGUUACACACAGGGUGACUUCUUAGGGAAGGACUGCGGGCUGCCCAGCUCGGGGAAAAUUAGUUACUCGCGAGAAAGAGCAAGUUACUAAAAGUUGCUGGCAUCUGAGGCCUGGCCCAGUCAGCCCGCAGCACUGUUUUGCUUUUGUGUGUGGUAAUUCUGCAUGGCGCCCAGUGCCAUCCUCAGAAACGCAC
rnacentral:lncRNA from 1 species